rnacentral:tRNA from 1 species
GGUAAAUAUAAUUUAAUGGUAAAAUAGUAGUUCGUGGCACUAUAUAUCUGAGUUCGAUUCUCAGUUUUUACC